CCUACGGGAGGCAGCAGUGAGGAAUAUUGGUCAAUGGGCUUACGCCUGAACCAGCCAAGUCGCGUGAGGGAAGACUGCCCUAUGGGUUGUAAACCUCUUUUGUCAGGGAGUAACGCCGGCUACGUGUAGCCGGACUGAGAUUACCUGAAGAAAAAACACCGGCUAACUCCGUGCCAGCAGCCGCGUUAAUACGGAGGAUGCGAGCGUUAUACGGUUUUAUUGGGUUAAAAGGGUGCGUAGGCGGUAUGCAAAGUCAGCGGUAAAAUUGCGGGGCUCAACCUCGCUCUGCCGUUGAAACUGGCGUUCUUCAGUGGGCGAGAGGUAUGCGGAAUGCGUGGUGUAGCGGUGAAAUGCAUAGAUAUCACGCAGAACUCCGAUUGCGAAGGCAGCAUACCGGCGCCCAACUGACGCUGAAGCACGAAAGCGUGGGUAUCGAACAGGAUUAGAUACCCGGGUAGUC
rnacentral:rRNA from 1 species